UCAAUUGGCCAUCUGACUCUUGAGG
rnacentral:piRNA from 1 species